rnacentral:rRNA from 1 species
UACGAGGGGGGCGAGCGUUGCUCGGAAUUAUUGGGCGUAAAGGGUGCGUAGGCGGUUUGGUAAGUCUGAUGUGAAAUCUAUGGGCUCAACUCAUAGUCUGCAUCGGAAACUGCCGGGCUUGAGUAUGGGAGAGGUGAGUGGAAUUCCUGGUGUAACGGUGAAAUGCGUAGAUAUCAGGAGGAACACCUGUGGCGAAAGCGGCUCACUGGACCGCAACUGACGCUGAGGCGCGAAAGCUAGGGGAGCAAACAGG